rnacentral:rRNA from 1 species
GAUGAACGCUGGCGGCGUGCCUAAUACAUGCAAGUCGAGCGAACGGACGAGAAGCUUGCUUUUCUGAUGUUAGCGGCGGACGGGUGAGUAACACGUGGAUAACCUACCUAUAAGACUGGGAUAACUUCGGGAAACCGGAGCUAAUACCGGAUAAUAUUUUGAACCGCAUGGUUCAAAAGUGAAAGACGGUCUUGCUGUCACUUAUAGAUGGAUCCGCGCUGCAUUAGCUAGUUGGUAAGGUAACGGCUCACCAAGGCAACGAUGCAUAGCCGACCUGAGAGGGUGAUCGGCCACACUGGAACUGAGACACGGUCCAGACUCCUACGGGAGGCAGCAGUAGGGAAUCUUCCGCAAUGGGCGAAAGCCUGACGGAGCAACGCCGCGUGAGUGAUGAAGGUCUUCGGAUCGUGAAACUCUGUUAUUAGGGAAGAACAUAUGUGUAAGUAACUGUGCACAUCUUGACGGUACCUAAUCAGAAAGCCACGGCUAACUACGUG